CAACAAUGCAGCAAUUGCUGCAUCAGCAGCUCAGGCGGCUGGUGCAAAGAAGGUGUUAAUAGUUGAUUGGGAUGUGCAUCAUGGGAAUGGCACACAAGAAAUAUUUGAGAGAAGCAAAUCGGUUUUGUAUAUAUCAUUGCAUAGACAUGAGGGUGGAAGAUUCUACCCUGGUACAGGAGCUGCAGAUGAGGUUGGUUCUAUGGGUGCAGAAGG
rnacentral:misc_RNA from 1 species